rnacentral:rRNA from 1 species
UCGCUCCUACCGAUUGAGUGAUCCGGUGAAUUAUUAGGACUACUCUAUGCGACAGUCUUCUGUUGUAUGGAGUGGGAAUUCUUGUGAACCUUAUCACUUAGAGGAAGGAG